AGGGAGAAGCAGACUCCCCACUGAGCAGGAGCCCGAUGCGGGGCUCGAUCCCAGGACCCUGGGAUCAUGACCUGAGCCGAAGGCAGACGCUAAACGACUGAGCCACCCAGGAAACCCUGGAUCUCUCCAUUCUUGAGGUGACAUUUGAGACGGUGGGGAGAAUUGGCCCUGUUUGCCAUCAGCAGUUCUAUACAAAGACCCCGGGGCCCCAGGCAGGGGGGCUGUAAGCUUGGGAGACCGGGGGCCUGAAGGAAAGGGCUCCUCUAAGGCAGUGACUGGGAUGGAUGGUGGUGGGGACCAGGGGCACUGAGUUCUGCGGGACGUUACUCUUUGGCCACCAGCAGGCUGCCAGUGAAUCAGAGACAGGUUCAGAGCGGCAGGUGACCUGGAGUCUGAGAAGGCAGGGAUGUCACGAACGCCCUGGGUCCCACCCUGAAAGCGCCUAAGAGCAGUCUUGGAGAAACCAGGAGGGCUGACGGCUCCUCGAAUUUCUGUUUCCUCUGAAAUAUCCCGUCAAAGCUUUGCUCUUGUUCAGUCCUUUUCCAAGGGUACCUUGAGAGGAGGAGGAAGAGAUUGUUCUAGAGUGGCUGCCUCAGGGGAAGGCUUUGUGUCAUCAGUUUUCCUCAGAGCCCAGGCCCGUCCCUCACACAGGUCCUUCACUGUGGGCAUCGCGUCUAAAAGGUCCAGAAUCAGUGUAUGGUCAGGGCCUGCAAUUUCUACAUGGAGUUGGUGUGGAAUUGGUGAGGUGACGAGGUGGCUGGUCUAAUAGCUGUCCUUUUGAGGCCAUGAUGCGCAUCAGUGCUACUCAGAAUCGCUGCAGAAACUGCAAUGUCCUAUUAAAAUGCCAGUGGUUUCAUUUGCAACGACGUGGAUGGAACUGGAGGGUAUUAUGCUGAGCGAAAUAAGUCAAACAGAGAAAGACAUGUAUCAUCUGACCUCACUGAUAUGAGGAAUUCUUAAUCUCAGGAAACAAACUGAGGGUUG